CCUACGUGUGGCAGCAGUGAGGAAUAUUGGUCAAUGGUCGGGAGACUGAACCAGCCAAGCCGCGUGAGGGAGGAAGGUACAGAGUAUCGUAAACCUCUUUUGUCAGGGAACAAAGACUGGGACGCGUCCCCGGAUGAGUGUACCUGAAGAAAAAGCAUCGGCUAACUCCGUGCCAGCAGCCGCGGUAAUACGGAGGAUCCGAGCGUUAUCCGGAUUCAUUGGGUUUAAAGGGUGCGUAGGUUGUUUUAUAAGUUAGCGGUGAAAUACCGAUGCUCAACAUCGGGGCUGCCGCUGAUACUGUAGGACUAGAGAUCGGAUGCAGCAGGCGGAAUGUGUAGUGUAGCGGUGAAAUGCAUAGAUAUUACACAGAACACCGAUUGCGAAGGCAGCUUGCUAGGCCGGAUCUGACACUGAUGCACGAAAGCGUGGGGAUCGAACAGGAUUAGAUACCCUAGUAGUC
rnacentral:rRNA from 1 species